rnacentral:rRNA from 1 species
AUUGAACGCUGGCGGCAGGCCUAACACAUGCAAGUCGAGCGGAGCGGCGGACGGGUGAGUAAUGCCUAGGAAUCUGCCUGGUAGUGGGGGAUAACGUCCGGAAUCGGGCGCUAAUACCGCAUAAUAUCAGAUGCGCCUAGGUCGGAUUAGCUAGUUGGUGGGGUAAAGGCCUACCAAGGCGACGAUCCCUAGCUGGUCUGAGAGGCUGACCAGCCACCCUGGAACUGAGACACGGUCCAGACUACUACGGGAGGGAGCAGUGGGGAAUAGUGCACAAUGGGCGCAAGCCGGAUGCAGGCAUGCCGCGUGUGUGAAGAAGGCCGUGGGUUUGUAAAGUACGUUCAGCGAGGAGACGUUACUCGCAGAAGAAGCACCGGCUAACUCCGUGCCAGCAGCCGCGGUAAUUC